rnacentral:rRNA from 1 species
CACAUGCAAGUCGAACGAUGAUGCCCAGCUUGCUGGGUUGAUUAGUGGCGAACGGGUGAGUAACACGUGAGUAACCUGCCCCUGACUUUGGGAUAACUCCGGGAAACCGGGGCUAAUACCGGAUAUGAGCCGUCCUCGCAUGGGGGUGGUUGGAAAGUUUUUCGGUCAGGGAUGGGCUCGCGGCCUAUCAGCUUGUUGGUGGGGUGAUGGCCUACCAAGGCGACGACGGGUAGCCGGCCUGAGAGGGCGACCGGCCACACUGGGACUGAGACACGGCCCAGACUCCUACGGGAGGCAGCAGUGGGGAAUAUUGCACAAUGGGCGCAAGCCUGAUGCAGCGACGCCGCGUGAGGGAUGAAGGCCUUCGGGUUGUAAACCUCUUUCAGCAGGGAAGAAGCGCAAGUGACGGUACCUGCAGAAGAAGCGCCGGCUAACUACGUGCCAGCAGCCGCGGUAAUACGUAGGGCGCAAGCGUUGUCCGGAAUUAUUGGGCGUAAAGAGCUCGUAGGCGGUUUGUCGCGUCUGGUGUG